AUAAACCCAGGCCUUCCAGCAGGCAAUGGCAACCCCCUUUGGGUCCCCUCCCUUUAUAUGGGAGCUCUGUUUUCACCCUAUUAAAUCUUGCAACUGCACUUUUCUGGUCCAUGUUUGUUACAGCUUGAGCUGAGCUUUCGCUCGCCAUCCACCACUGCUGUUUGCCGUUGUGCCGGACCCGCCACUGACUUCUAUCCCUCCGGAUCCGGCAGGGUGUCUGCUGUGCUCCUGAUCCAGCGAGGCGCCCAUUGCUGCUCCCGAUCAGGCUAAAGGCUUGCCAUUGUUCCUGCACGGCUAAGUGCCUGGGUUCGUCCUAAUCGAGCUGAACACUAGUUACUGGGUUCCAUGGUUCUCUUCUGUGAUCCAUGGCUUCUAAUAGAGGUAUAACACUCACCUGGCAUGGCCCAGGAUUCCAUUCCUUGGGAUCCGUGAGGCCAAGAACCCCAGGUCAGAGAACACGAGGCUUGCCACCAUCUUGGAAGCGGCCCACCACCAUCUUGGAAGCUGCUAGCCACCAUCUUGGAAGUUCUGUGAACAAGGACCCCCGGUAACAUUUUGGCGACCACGAAGGGACCUCCAAAGUGAUGGAGGCUCUCUCUCUGUGCAACUGGGGGUGUGGUGAUGCAAAUAUCCUUCUGGCCACCGCCACUGGGGCCGUGCUGGGUCAGACCUGAAGGCAGCACAGCACUGGAUUUCACCUGAGGCCCUCUAUAAUCACUACCCGGCUGCCACCUAUGUUCACUCAAGACCCUAUGUUCAUUCAACGGCUCUAUAAUCAGCAGAUGGCAAAUCCAGCCAGGUUCAUGUGCUUCCCUUCAGGAUGUGUGGAAAUGGGCACCUUUGACUGAACCAUGUUUCUUGCUCGGUAUUGAAAAAUGACCUCAUUCCUUUGUCAUGGAUGACUAUCAGCUCUGCUGGAAGACUCAUGAGAGAGUCUAUUCGAGCACAAAACUCGAAGACAGCUGCCUGGGAAACAAAAAUUCCAAAGAAUGGACAUCAAUGUUCCAAAGGGUAGAAGUUUGGACUCAUUUUAUUAGACAAGGAAAAUAUAUUUAACACUCCACACUGAAUAUUUAACAGUCAUGGUAUCUUUGCUCCAGCUGAUCUAAACACAGGACAAUAAAAGACAUGGUUAAUCUACAACAAAGGUCAGUGAUUAAAAGGGGAGGAGGCAUGCCACUGCACUCCAGCCUGGGUGACACAGCGAGACUCCAGUACUCUGUCUCAAAAAAGAGAAGGGGAGGAGGCCUGGUCUCUGGUCUCUCCUAAUCAUUUACAGAACAAUAACAGUGAGGAAGAGAGCUAACCUAUAAUCUAAGAAGCAAAAGUUUCAAUUAUAUGCUACAUGACUCAUCAUAGUCAUCUCUCUCUCAAGGAUUAAAAUGUUUUUUGGGGUUUCAACAGCUUUUACAUUUUGUUUGUUUUCACAUUUCCCCUUUGUCAUCAAGAUUGUUUGAGGAAGUCAUCAUAGAAAAACUCAGUAGUUUUGCCUCCCUCUUUUUGUUUGGUUUUGAGACAGAGUUUCACUCUUAUUGCUCAGGCUGGAGUGCAGUGGUGUGAUCUUUGCUCACUGCAACUUCCGCCUCCUGGGUUCAAGCAAUUCUCCUGCCUCAGCCUCCCAAGUAGCUGAGAUUACAGGCAUGCACCACCACGCCCAGCUAAUUUUGUAUUUUCAGUAGAGAUGGUGUUUCACUAUGUUGGUCAGGUGGAUCUCCAACUCCUGACUGACCUCAGGUGAUCCACCCACCUCAGCCUCUCAAAAUGCUGGGAUUAUGGGCGUGAGCCACCGCACCCAGGCUUUUGCCUCCUGUUAUGUUCAGAAAUUUAGUCCCAUGUUGCUAGGAAGGCUUAUUCCUAGAAUGUCAUGUCUCCCAGUGAGGGGGGAUUGAUUGGAUGAGCUAUAAAGCUGAUAAGAGUAUAGGUUGGAUGUAAAGCAACAUGAAGAAAGUGACUUUGUGAACUGUGUCAGGCUAAACAGCUACAUCUUUAAUGAAGGCAAUUCUUUACAUGACCACUGUUUUAGUCUUUUCAGUAGUGCAUUGACUCCAUUGCAAACAGCAGCAGUGAAAACUAAAGCUGAGCAAAACACAACAUAUGAUUAUAAUUCCUAGAAUAAGUAGCAGCUUUUGCUACCAAGUUCCCCAAGACCUAAAUCAGCUGCUUAGCCAAUUGCUCAGGAAGAGUCUUGGAUCUGAAAGGCUAAUUAUUUGGAGUUUCAUAUCUGCCAUUACUUUAGUGAUGUUUUCUGAAUCAGCUGGAAUAUAGACCCAGUACUCAUUAGGUUUUAUAAAGACUAAAUGAUAUACAUUUUAAAACACCAUGCUGGCUUGAAGGACCCAUCUUCUCUCAUCUUGUUCAUCAACAUCAACUUCCAAGAAAUAUAUUCUAGUAUCCCUAGUUAAGCUUUACCUUUUCUUUACUCCCUUUUUGAUCUUUAAAAAUCAAAUUUGUUUACAUAUCUAUUUUCUGGCAGAGCAUUUAGUUUUACAAAUUCAAAGUUUGUGUUUUUCAUCUGUGUGACUCUCCCACCAAACCUGUGACAGCACCUAAACAACUAUCUCACACUGGGACUUAUUUAUUUUAAAGUUUUGAACUUUUUGCUGGCUUUCCAAGAACAUAGAUGCUCAUCGUAGACAACCCUGAAGGAACAAGAAAUUAGAAACCCACAGACAAUCAACAACAGUUAUCAUUUUACCAUGAUCACUUUAAUUAAAUAUUUUAAAAAUUGUUUAUAUUGAAGAGAAGUGCAUCACUCAAAAGUGCAGAGCUUGAUGAAUUUCCACAAAGACCUUCCUGAUGUAACCGUUACGCAGAUCAAGCGACUGAGCAGUACCAGCAACCAAGAAAUCUCUCUAUUCCUUCUCCCAAUCUCUGCCUCAUUCUCCUACUUUUCAGUUGCUACUGUAACAAAUUACCACAAACUUAGUGGUUUCAUUUAUUUUCUCUUACAGUUCUGGGUUCAGAAGUUUGUUAGAGCUCUAUUCCUUCUGGAGGCUUCAGAGGAAAAUCUGUUUCCUUACAUUUUGUAGCUUCUAGAGUCCACCUGCAUUCCGUGGCCUGUGUCCCCUUCUUCUAUCUUCAAAACUCAUCACACCAACUUCUGGUUUCAUUGUCACUUAACAUUUUUUCUAACUUCUAACUCAAAUGACAUUCAACAUUGUUAUGUCAUUUUCAUUCAACACCUUUUUCUUUUAUUCUUCCUGUUUUCCUCUUACAAGGACUUUUAUAAUUAUAUUGGGCCCACCCAGAUGAACCAGGAUAGUCUACCCAUCUCAAUGUCCUUACCUUCAUCACAUCUGUCAUUCCUUUUGCUAUAUAAGGUAACUUAUUCACAGUUCUGAGGAUUAGGAUGGGGACAUCUUUAGGGAGGCAAUGUUCUGUGUACCACAGUGACUAUUAACAUGACUUUUAAUAAUAUAGAUUUGUUUUUCUGUUUUCAAGGUUAUAUAAAUGCAAUCUUUAUAUAAAUGUACCCUUUGAUGUCCAACAUAUUUUAUUCAACAUUGUAUUUGUGAGGUUAUCCAUUCUGUUGUGCAUAGAAGUA
rnacentral:lncRNA from 1 species